CAGGCAGCAGAGAGCACCCUUGGGCGCAGGCCCCAGGCUGCGGCCUCUCCAUCAGCCCGCCUCCCUCUCCGCAGCUGGGCAGGAGGGCCGGCUUCUACCAGAAGUCUCGUACCCGGGGGCCCCAUACUACCUCUCAGUCUGGACAAAGGGCACCAAACCUACUCCAAAAUGGAAAUGUUUUCUCUCCUACCAAUUUAGAAGACCUCUGAGCAUUUUACAGACUCCUAUCCUGAACUACUUGGGGCCAAGUACCAGUGUUUGGGUUUCAUUGCAUCUGGCUGGCUGCUUGUGAAUGGUGUACCAACUGCUGUAAGACUGGCUUCCUUCCCCAGCCCUGCUCAAUGGCCAAGAGAACUUUACCAACGUAUGGGCACCUAAUGUUGACACUGAUUUGCAUAAUGGUGCAAUAAAAG